rnacentral:rRNA from 1 species
GAGUUUGAUCCUGGCUCAGGAUGAACGCUAGAAACAGGCUUAACACAUGCAAGUCGCGGGGCAGCAUGGGGGUUGUUUGCAAUCCCUGAUGGCGACCGGCGCACGGGUGAGUAACGCGUAUCCAACCUGCCCUUCACCACGGGAUAACCCGGCGAAAGUCGGACUAAUACCGUAUGUUGUCCAUUGACGGCAUCCGAUUUGGACGAAAGGCUUAGCGGUGAGGGAUGGGGAUGCGUCCGAUUAGUUUGACGGCGGGGUAACGGCCCACCGUGGCAACGAUCGGUAGGGGUUCUGAGAGGAGGGUCCCCCACACUGGAACUGAGACACGGUCCAGACUCCUACGGGAGGCAGCAGUGAGGAAUAUUGGUCAAUGGGCGGAAGCCUGAACCAGCCAAGUAGCGUGCAGGAUGACGGCCCUAUGGGUUGUAAACUGCUUUUAUGCGGGGAUAAAGUGGCCCACGUGUGGGUUUUUGCAGGUACCGCAUGAAUAAGGACCGGCUAAUUCCGUGCCAGCAGCCGCGGUAAUACGGAAGGUCCGGGCGUUAUCCGGAUUUAUUGGGUUUAAAGGGAGCGUAGGCCGCCCCUUAAGCGUGUUGUGAAAUGCGGGUGCUCAACAUCCGACUUGCAGCGCGAACUGGGGGGCUUGAGUGCGCCGAAAGUAGGCGGAAUUCGUGGUGUAGCGGUGAAAUGCUUAGAUAUCACGAAGAA